rnacentral:misc_RNA from 1 species
UCUAGGGAGCCCUAUAUGGGCACCGACCGCCGGCCAGGAUCGCCGCCUGAGCUCUCGAGCUCCGCGGCGCUCUCCUCGAGCGCGGUCGGCCCCAGAACGUCGACCGAAUCUGGCAGGCCACACGGCCUUAUCGGCUUCGUGCCGUGGCUGAUGCGGCUCGCGUGCUGUUGAGUUUUGAGAGACCGGCGUUGCCGCCGGUGUCUGGCGCUAAGGCCCAGACGUCGAUGGCGCGGCGCCUCUUCGCGGACCUUGAAAACUGCACAGUAGCCAAUGACACGGGUAUCACCGGGUGGAAGCCUUCGAGCUUCCAACCGAGAUCACCGUCAAGAUAUUAAGGGCACAUGGUGGAUGCCUUGGCACCAAGAGUCGAAGAAGGGCGUGAACGGCUGCGAUAAGCCGCGGUGAGGCGCUGAAUGGCCUGUGACCUGCGGAUGC